rnacentral:rRNA from 1 species
AUUGGGUUCCGGCAUUGGAAUGAGAACAAUAUAAAUCUUUUAACGAGGAUCUAGUGGAGGGCAAGUCUGGUGCCAGCAGCCGCGGUAAUUCCAGCUCCGCAAGUGUAUAUCUAUGUUGCUGCGGUUAAAAAGCUCGUAGUUGGAUCUGCGUGUUUAGCGUCCGGUUCGACUUUUGGUCGUUACUGGAACGCGACACAGAUGUGCUGGUUUGCCGUUGAUGCUCUUAACCGGGUGUCAGUGGCGGCUAGCGAGUUUACUUUGAAAAAAAUUAGAGUGCUCAAAACAGGCGUUUCGCCUGAAUAUUUCUGCAUGGAAUAAUAGAAUAGGACUUCGAUUCUAUUCUGUUGGUUUUCGGAAUGCGAAGUAAUGAUUAAGAGGGACAGACGGGGGCAUUCGUACUGCGACGUUAGAGGUGAAAUUCUUGGAUCGUCGCAAGACGUACUACUGCGAAGGCAUUUGCCAAGAGUGUUUUCAUUAAUCAAGAACGAAAGUUAUGGGUUCGAAGGCGAUCAGAUACCGCCCUAGUCAUAACCGUAAACGAUUCAAACUGGGCGCCCGACGGUGUUUUUAUUGACCCGUCGGGAACCCUCCCGGAAACGAAAGUGUUCGUGUUCCGGGGGAAAUAUGUCUGCAAAGAGGAAACUUAAAGGAAUUGACGGAAGGGCACCACCAGGGGUGGAGCCUGCGGCUUAAUUUGACACAACACGGGGAAACUCACCCGGCCCGGACACCGUAAGGAUUGACAGAUUGAGAGCUCUUUCUUGAUUCGGUGGGUGGUGGUGCAUGGCCGUUCUUAGUUGGUGGAGUGAUUUGUCUGGUUUAUUCCGAUAACGAACGAGACUCUGGCCUGCUAACUAGUGUUCACAUCUUUACGUGUGCUUCGCUUCUUAGAGGGACAGGCGGCUUCCAGCCGCAUGAAGAAGAGCAAUAACAGGUCUGUGAUGCCCUUAGAUGUCCGGGGCUGCACGCGCGCUACACUGAAAGAAUCAGCGUGUACGUUACCUGGCUCGAAAGAGUCGGGUAAUCCGGUGAAAAUCUUUCGUGAUUGGGAUCGGGACUUGCAAUUAUUUCCCUUGAACGAGGAAUCCCUAGUAAGUGCGGGUCAUCAGCUCGCGCUGAUUACGUCCCUGCCCUUUGUACACACCGCCCGUCGCUGCCCGGAACUGAGCCGUUUCGAGAAAAAUGGGGACUGUCUACUUGAGGUCUUCACGGACUUUUUGUAAAUGGAAACCGCUU